GGGCUUACGAUUGCAUGGCGGGCUGGACCUCUCGGGGUUACAGCCUUGCUGAAUUAUUCACCCUUGUCUUUUGCGUACUUCUUGUUUCCUUGGUGGGUUCGCCCACCACUAGGACAAACAUAAACCUUUUGUAAUUGCAAUCAGCGUCAGUAACAAAUUAAUAAUUACAACUUUCAACAACGGAUCUCUUGGUUCUGGCAUCGAUGAAGAACGCAGCGAAAUGCGAUAAGUAGUGUGAAUUGCAGAAUUCAGUGAAUCAUCGAAUCUUUGAACGCACAUUGCGCCCUUUGGUAUUCCAAAGGGCAUGCCUGUUCGAGCGUCAUUUGUACCCUCAAGCUUUGCUUGGUGUUGGGCGUCUUGUCUCUAGCUUUGCUGGAGACUCGCCUUAAAGUAAUUGGCAGCCGGCCUACUGGUUUCGGAGCGCAGCACAAGUCGCACUCUCUAUCAGCAAAGGUCUAGCAUCCAUUAAGCCUUUUUUUCAACUUUUGACCUCGGAUCAGGUAGGGAUACCCGCUGAACUUAAGCAUAUC
rnacentral:rRNA from 2 species